AGACGUCUACGUCGGGAGUCCGGUCCGAACGCAACCUCUGGUCCCGAAGGUCGCAGUUCCGGUCUCAGGAGGGAUCUCUGCAAAGGCGUUCGCUCUGGAGUAAAACGUGAAGUGGGUCUUUUUCGUGGUUACGCUGCGGCCAGAUGUCGAUCCGGGAUACUUCAUGGUAAUGGCGUCUUCUGCGGUUGUU
rnacentral:rRNA from 1 species